UUUCUUUUGGGUACCCCCUCGUAAGAACACUCGUUUGUUACGUUUAAUACUUUUAAACUUUUAAUCUCUUAAAGGGAACUUUACGUGUGUAAUAGACUUACUUUCUGUCCAGACUUGAGCGGCGUUCAGCAGCUACGAGCCGUGACAUGUUUAGAAUCCAUCGAGGAGAAAAGUAAUCCAUCAGGGAAACACUGUGAUGUCUGAACACUUCAGGAACAUUACAAAGUGAUAGUUCUACAUUUUAUCCAUUUAAUUCUCAAAUAUCUAAAUAGUUAUUAACUGUUUUGGAAGUGGCGCCUGUCAGACGGCGGCAGACCGUUUGAUGCUCUCGUCCAAUCACAAAUUGUGUUACUAGAUGGCGAAACAGCUGAGCCAAUGACUGUGACAGGAAGCGACCCUCAGAGAGUAAAUAAUGACCAAGAUAGUUUUCUGUAGUUUGCUCAACUCACUGAAGCCCGGAAAUGGAUGCAGGAGAGCGGCGGUGCUGCAGACAGUCGCAGCAGAUGGAUCACGUCACAACGUUUUAUUUUAUUUAUUAUUAUUUUAUAUUGAUUCUCAUGAGUCAAUCUACAACCCGCGACCCGACCCGCAAGCUAUUGUUCCCACCCAGAUCCGAACCCGAGAAAAAAAAGCUUUUAAAAACCACCUGCAAAUCAGCUGUUUUCAGUGCAGGACUCUGGCUCCGGGUGGAGGUGACGGAGGUUACAUCAUGCUACAUACUGCACCUUUAAAGAACCGCCACUCCACGGUCCUCUCUGGUCCUCUCUGGUCCUCUCUGGUCCUCUCUGGUCCUCUCUGGUUCUCUUGCGCUACUGAUGGAUGACAUCGGUACCGGUACCAAUACCAAUACCGGUAUCGGUACCGGUACUGGUCCAUCCCAGCCUGAAUGACAAAAUGAAGUCAGAACAUUUCUGAACAUGAGAAGUGACGGAGGUUCUGGGACGGAGGUUCUGUGAUGGAGGAGGUUCUGUGAUGGAGGAGGUUCUGUGAGGUUCUGGGACGGAGGUUCUGUGAUGGAGGAGGUUCUGUGAGGUUCUGUGAGGUUCUGUGACGGAGGUUCUGUGAUGGAGGAGGUUCUGUGAGGUUCUGGGACGGAGGUUCUGUGAUGGAGGAGGUUCUGUGAGGUUCUGUGAGGUUCUGUGACGGAGGUUCUGUGCAGGGCGGCCCUGACUGAAGAUGGGGGGAGAACAGAGCAGUGAGAACCAGAACCAGAACCAGCAGGAGUCCCAACAGGAUGAGCCGGAGAACAGUGGAACCCCUGAAGAGACGCCGGGAGAGCUGCCCCAGUGCACGAUGGGAGACAAGAAGGUGGACGACAUGUGCUUCAUGAUCUCCUGCACCAACUGGUACUGACGUGGUCCAGGUCCAGGAAGUGGGCCUGAAGGAGCAGCUGAGCCACAUGGAGGACCACCCGGAAGGCCUCAUGGUCCGGUUCAUCUGGAGAACGUUCACGGUCUCGGCCCGCCGGAACGUCCAGUCUGAUCCCGAAUCAGGGUUCUUACAGCUCUGGUGCCUGUUUCUGAGGUCCUUAAGGUUCCUGGUUCCUGAUCCUGAGUCCUGGUUCCUGGUUUUGAGGACCUCAGGGUUCCUGGUUCCAGGUUAUGAGGUCCUCAGGGUUUCCAGUCCUGGUUCCAGGUCCUGGUCCUGGUUCUGGGGACUGGUCCUGUUUUGACUUUGCAAUGCACUCCUCAUGGGGAUCUCUGGAAGAAGCCGACAACGGCUUCAGUCGAUCCAGGACUGUGCUGCCAGGAUCCUGAUGAGGGUGCCAAAACGACGCCAUGUCACCCCCAUUCUCCAUAACCGUCACUGGCUCCCGGUAAGGUUCAGGCUGGAAUACAAACUCUGCCUCCUGACCCAUCAGUGUGUCUACGGUAGUGCAGCAGUGCGCCUAAAAGAACUUCUCUCCCCACACGACCUGACCAGACGCCUCCGCUCCGCCGACACAAUCUGCUGAAGGUCCCAAAACCAGGCUGUGCUCCGUGGGGGACAGGGCUUUUCAGGCUGCAGCACCCUGCCUGCCCACCUGAGGGCGCCACAGUGGGUGGACUUAUUUAGAUCUAGCUUGAAAACGUUUUUGUUUGUGAAAGCCUUUGAAUGAUUUUACUGUUCUCUGUUGUAUUUUAUGAUGUGCAAAAGUAUGAGUGUUUUUAUUGAUUUAGCCUGUAUCUGUUACUUUUAAUUGUCACUGUUGUUUUUAAAUUCCACUGUAGCACUUUGAGAUUUGUUUUACAAUGUAAAGUGCAUGAUAAAUAAAAUUCAU